rnacentral:rRNA from 1 species
UCGUGGGGCAGCGCGGGUAGCAAUACCUGGCGGCGACCGGCAAACGGGUGAGGAACAUGUACGCAACCUUCCUUUAACUGGAGAAUAGCCCCUCGAAAGAGGGAUUAAUACUCCGUAAUAUCCCGACCCAGCAUUGUGUUGGGAUUAUAGCUUCGGCGGUUAAAGAUGGGCGUGCACCUGAUUAGAUAGUUGGCGGGGUAACGGCCCACCAAGUCUGCGAUCAGUAACUGGUGUGAGAGCACGACCAGUCACACGGGCACUGAGACACGGGUCCGACUCCUACGGGAGGCAGCAGUAAGGAAUAUUGGUCAAUGGACGCAAGUCUGAACCAGCCAUGCCGCGUGGAGGAUUAAGGCCCUCUGGGUUGUAAACUCCUUUUAUCUGGGAAGAAAUGUUUCGAUUCUUCGAAACUUGACGGUACCAGAGGAAUAAGCACCGGCUAACUCCGUGCCAGCAGCCGCGGUAAUACGGAGGGUGCAAGCGUUAUCCGGAUUCACUGGGUUUAAAGGGUGCGUAGGCGGACAGAUAAGUCAGUGGUGAAAUCUCCGAGCUUAACUCGGAAACUGCCGUUGAUACUAUUUGUCUUGAAUAUUGUGGAGGUAAGCGGAAUAUGUCAUGUAGCGGUGAAAUGCUUAGAUAUGACAUAGAACACCAAUUGCGAAGGCAGCUUACUACACAAUGAUUGACGCUGAGGCACGAAAGCGUGGGGAUCAAACAGGAUUAGAUACCCUGGUAGUCCACGCCCUAAACGAUGAUUACUCGACAUACGCGAUACACUGUGUGUGUCUGAGCGAAAGCAUUAAGUAAUCCACCUGGGAAGUACGUUCGCAAGAAUG